rnacentral:rRNA from 1 species
AAACUUGAGAGUUUGAUCAUGGCUCAGAACGUACGCUGGCGGCACGCCUAACACAUGCAAGUCGAACGAAGUAGCAAUACUUAGUGGCAAACGGGUGAGUAAUAUGUGGGAAUCUACCCUUCGGUCUGGAAUAACAUGAGGAAACUUAUGCUAAUACCGGAUAAGCCUUUACAGGGAAAGCUUUAUGCUCCGAUUGAUGAGUCCACACUUGAUUAGUUAGUUGGUGAGGUAAUAGCUCACCAAGACAAUGAUCAAUAGCUGAUUUGAGAGGAUGAUCAGCCACAUUGGGACUGAGACACGGCCCAAACUCCUACGGGAGGCAGCAGUGGGGAAUCUUGCACAAUGGGGGAAACCCUGAUGCAGCGAUGCCGCGUGAGUGAAGAAGGCCCUUGGGUUGUAAAGCUCUUUCGUCGGGGAAGAAAAUGACUGUACCCGAAUAAGAAGGUCCGGCUAACUUCGUGCCAGCAGCCGCGGUAAUACGAAGGGACCUAGCGUAGUUCGGAAUUACUGGGCUUAAAGAGCACGUAGGUGGUUAAAAAAGUUGGUGGUGAAAUCCCAGAGCUUAACUCUGGAACUGCCAUCAAAACUUUUUAGCUAGAGUAUGAUAGAGGAAAGUAGAAUUUCUAGUGUAGAGGUGAAAUUCGUAGAUAUUAGAAAGAAUACCAAUUGCGAAGGCAGCUUUCUGGAUCAUUACUGACACUGAGGUGCGAAAGCAUGGGUAGCGAAGAGGAUUAGAUACCCUCGUAGUCCAUGCCGUAAACGAUGUGUGCUAGACGUUGGAAAUUUAUUUUCAGUGUCGCAGCAAAAGCAUUAAGCACACCGCCUGGGGAGUACGACCGCAAGGUUAAAACUCAAAUGAAUUGACGGGGACCCGCACAAGCAGUGGAGCAUGUGGUUUAAUUCGAAGAUACGCGCAGAACCUUACCAACACUUGACAUGUUCGUCGCGACUUUAAGAGAUUAAAGUCUUCGGUUCGGCCGGACGAAACACAGGUGCUGCAUGGCUGUCGUCAGCUCGUGUCGUGAGAUGUUGGGUUAAGUCCCGCAACGAGCGCAACCCUUACUUUUAGUUGCCAUCAUUUAGUUGGGCACUCUGAAAGAACUGCCAGUGAUAAGCUGGAGGAAGGUGGGGAUGACGUCAAGUCCUCAUGGCCCUUA